UACGUAGGGUGCGAGCGUUGUCCGGAAUUAUUGGGCGUAAAGAGCUCGUAGGCGGUGUGUCGCGUCGGCCGUGAAAACCUGGGGCUCAACUCUGGGCGUGCGGUCGAUACGGGCAUCACUUGAGUUCGGCAGGGGAGACUGGAAUUCCUGGUGUAGCGGUGAAAUGCGCAGAUAUCAGGAGGAACACCGGUGGCGAAGGCGGGGUCUCUGG
rnacentral:rRNA from 1 species